rnacentral:rRNA from 1 species
AAAUUACCCACUCCCGGCACGGGGAGGUAGUGACGAAAAAUAACGAUACGGGACUCAUCCGAGGCCCCGUAAUCGGAAUGAGUACACUCUAAACCCUUUAACAAGGAUCAAUUGGAGGGUAAGUCUGGUGCCAGCAGCCGCGGUAAUACCAGCUCCAAUAGCGUAUAUUAAAGUUGUUGCGGUUAAAAAGCUCGUAGUCGAAUCUGUGUCCCGCGCCGCUGGUUCAUCGCUCGCGGUGUUCAACUGGCGUGUCUCGCGGGACGUCCUGCCGGUGGGCGCUCGUUAUCGCUUCGGCGGUGCGAGGCCCUACUCGCUUCCGUCUCGCACGGUUGUGAAUCCCAUCGCGGUGCUCUUUAUUGAGUGUCGAGGUGGGCCGGCACGUUUACUUUGAACAAAUUAGAGUGCUUAAAGCAGGCCAGUUUUGCCUGAAUAUUCUGUGCAUGGAAUAAUGGAAUAGGACCUCGGUUCUAUUUUGUUGGUUUUCGGAACCCCGAGGUAAUGAUUAAUAGGAACGGAUGGGGGCAUUCGUAUUGCGACGUGAGAGGUGAAAUUCUUGGAUCGUCGCAAGACGGACAGAAGCGAAAGCAUUUGCCAAAAACGUUUUCAUUGAUCAAGAACGAAAGUUAGAGGAUCGAAGGCGAUCAGAUACCGCCCUAGUUCUAACCAUAAACGAUGCCAGCUAGCGAUCCGCCGACGUUCCUCCGAUGACUCGGCGGGCAGCUUCCGGGAAACCAAAGCUUUUGGGUUCCGGGGGAAGUAUGGUUGCAAAGCUGAAACUUAAAGGAAUUGACGGAAGGGCACCACCAGGAGUGGAGCCUGCGGCUUAAUUUGACUCAACACGGGAAACCUCACCAGGCCCGGACACCGGAAGGAUUGACAGAUUGAGAGCUCUUUCUUGAUUCGGUGGGUGGUGGUGCAUGGCCGU